UACGUAGGGUGCGAGCGUUGUCCGGAUUUAUUGGGCGUAAAGGGCUCGUAGGCGGCUUGUCGCGUCGGGAGUGAAAGCCCGCUGCUUAACGGCGGGUUUGCUUUCGGUACGGGCAGGCUGGAGUGCGGCAGGGGAGACUGGAAUUCCUGGUGUAGCGGUGAAAUGCGCAGAUAUCAGGAAGAACACCCGUGGCGAAGGCGGCUCUCUGGGACGGUACUGACGCUGAGACGCGAAAGCGUGGGGAGCGAACAGG
rnacentral:rRNA from 1 species